AUUGGCGUAUCCGAUGAGAAGGGUUGGUUGGUGGCGGUGAUGGUGGUGGUGGUGGUGGUAUAGAACGAGAGAGGACGAAGAGAGAGAAAGAAAGAGAGAGACAGAGAAAGAGACAGAGAGAGAGAUAGACAGAGACAGAUAGAGAGUGUGGGACGGCACGAGUAGACGUCAUUUGUGGGAUUUAGUGCGGAGAGCGUCCACGGCAGUUCGGCACGAUCGAGUUUGCAUAUGGAACCGCGGCCGUUUCGACGUACAUGCGAGAAAUUGACGGGUGUGGUGCCGAUAGGAAUAACGAGUUUUUGGUUUAAAUAGAGAAGACAUACGUAAAAGUCGUAACCAUCACCGGAUAUGUCAGCCAGAAUUCAGCGAUCGAUCAGUCAGCCAUUGGUGUAUCAUCCCAAGUAUAUGGAAGAGAGUAACAUGGAAAAAAGAAAAAAGAAAUAGAGAUUAUAUCUUCACUUUGUUCGACCUCAUUGGUUAACGACUUGUACCUGCAAAAAAGAAACGCGAAGAGAAUGAACGAGAAAGGCCAAGAACCUCCGAACCGAACGGAUUUCAAAAGGAUCUUCGUCUUUAUUAACGCGAAAGGAAAAAGGAAGUCUUUGUUCGUUACAGAGAAUUCGCUCGUUUACUGGGUCAGCUCCGGUGUGACUCAAACGCUAAAGAGAUAACGACCUACUCUGGAUUAAGACGAACUACUUUAGAUUUUUUUACAAAUAUUAAAUUCUGUACAGAACGAAUAUAACAUGAUACAUGACAAGUGCUCAUAAAUUAUAUAAGCAUACAAUAAUGAAUGUAAAAAAAGACACAAGAAGAAAAUAAAAGAAAAGUUAAUGUUUAAUAAAUAUAAAAAAAUAUUCUAUACAUUACUAUUCCUUCUAAUUUCACCAUGUCUUUAAAUCUUCGAUAAUCUUUCGAAUAUUUUCAUUGCAAUUUCUUCAAGUAGAAAUAAUAUCAUUCGUAUUCAACGAAAUCGUAGUUCUUAUCGUUUAAUUGCUUACGAAUGAAUCGAGAAUACUUUUAAAUGACCAGUCAAUUAGUCUUGAACCGUUCGAUAUCUCGAUUCGUUUUCUAUUUCUUGAACAAAAAAGAGCAAGUUAGGAAGUAUUUCUACGGAGCACUGCUGAAGACUAAAUAAAAUUGUUCAAUAGUUGGCACAUAACCGAUGAGAAAAAGAAUUCGACGAGUUUUCACGAGUAUGAAACUUUGAUAAUGAGCUGACUCAUUCGCAAAGUAAUAGAUUUGAAUCAUCUAAUUACAUCUUUAUAUUUCAUACAUGCUGUUGUAAAAAUAUUUCAUUAAACAUAAAUUUAUUUGAACUUCGUACAGGCAGGUAAAAUAAAUUAUUAUAGGUGAAUAAAAAUUAUUCAAAAAAUUAUUUCAAAUUUCCCGAUACACAACUAUCGACAAAACAAUGAACAAAUAAGUCUAUGCAUUUUCAAUAAAAACAAUUUAAAAUUAUCGACGAUAAAAGACUAAUAAUCCGAUUAUAUUUAAUGAGUAUCAUUCUUCCCAUGUUAUUUUAUUAUUUGAUGUUAAUCGAAUUAUUGUAAGAGUUAUUAUAAAAAUGAAUUAAGCGAGGAAAAUAUUCUCCGAUACUUGUAAAGCUUAUUAACGAUAAAAUAAAAAUUACGACUCUUCCUCGAUUCCUAUUCAUAAAAUGUACUUCAUUAAUUACCUUUCAAAGUGUACAAAGUGCAUAGAAUUCAUCAUACGUUCGAAAAAGUUUGUGCUAUAUAGUCGAUAUUCUCCGAAGUUUCAAAACAUCAAUCGAUUUUUGUCUUUAAUCUACAAAUUUGCUAUUCUUGUUCACAUUUACUUGAGCAAAGUCGUCAGAAUAUUGUUAAGAAUAGAUAUAGAUAAAAAGAGAAAGAGAAGAGAAAACGAAAGUAGAACGAUAAAUUCGAGCGUUUGUUCAGCUGCUACGACUUUAUGAGCUCGAUUUCCUCUUAAUCAAGAUAAACGUUAUAUGUACGAAAGAGAUAUU